GAUGAACGCUAGCUACAGGCUUAACACAUGCCAGUCGAGGGACCGGCGCACGGGUGAGUAACACGUAUCCAACCUGCCCUUUACUCGGGGAUAGCCUUUCGAAAGAAAGAUUAAUACCCGAUGUAAAGGAUGGGGAUGCGUUCCAUUAGGUUGUUGGUGAGGUAACGGCUCACCAAGCCUUCGAUGGAUAGGGGUUCUGAGAGGAAGGUCCCCCACAGUGGAAAUGAGACACGGUCCAAACUCAUACGGGAGGCAGCAGUGAGGAAUAUGGGGCAAUGGGCGUUAGCCGGAACCAGCCAAGUAGCGUGAAGGAUGAAGGCUUAUGGGUCGUAAACUUCGUUUAUAUAAGAAUAUGUAUUAUAUGAAUAAGGAUCGGCUAACUCCGUGCCAGCAGCCGCGGUAAUAC
rnacentral:rRNA from 1 species